CUCCACUCCACUGAAUCAGUACCCACAAGAAAGACGUCCUUUUCUCCGGGAGCUGCAUGGGGACUGCAGGAGUCCAAAGCCUCGCUGUGUUUUGUGGGGAACAGUUAUUAAUAUUGGGUCAAAUAAUCCAGUAUUUCUUCACUCUGGUGCUGAAGGUCCGCUGCGCUGCUUCUUUACUGUGUUUCCCCUUUACUCUGUUUUCAUUUAAAGCCCCUCAGUCUUAAAACAGCGGCACUAGCGGGCCUCCAGCACCGAUAGUGAUUAUUACCCUGCCGGAUUAGAUUAGAGCAGCGCGGCGGAGCUCUGUAAGUCCCGGUGACGCUGCAACUGGAUUUUAUAAAGAUAUGAGAAAAGAAUGCUUUCGUCGUGGAUUUAACAUGAGAAGGUAAGCUGCUGUUAUGUUCUGAUCUGUGCAGGCAGUUUAUGCACUUAACGUAACUCCGUUAGAGAACUAACUUACAGAGCUAGCGUUUGUUGUGUCUCCGGCUUAGUUUUCUGCAGUCCAUGAUUUAUUAGCUAAGGUGUUUAGUUUAUUUUGACCCCAAACAGCAGCAUUCACUGCAUUUUGCAUACUAUUAAGUAACCGCGUGAAUCCACUGCACGUGCAAGUUAGCGUUAACUUCAUCACGAACGAGUAACGGAUUAGUAAACACACACUUGUCUAUUUUUUUGAAUCCUCACAGUUUCUGUCAGAAAACACUGAAAGAAAACUUCUCCUCUGUCUCUGUUUAUACAGCGAUGGUUUGGGUUUAAAGCUGGGUUUGUUGUGCUGGAUGUUUGGUUAGGAGAAGGAGAUUUUAUAAGAUGUGUGGCUGCAUAAUUGUGAACUGAGAUCGCGGUAUGUGAAGUUACACCCGCAGCUAACCAGUGACUUUAAAAAACAAAUAAACACAGCUGUUACUGGACUUUAUGGGUUUUAAAAAAUGAGUUAAUUACUUUUAAAAGACUAGGCUACUAAUGUUGGCCCUGCUGAGUCCAGCUGAUCAUCCAGAAAUAAACAUUACCUAUGCUGGUCAAAAGCUAUUUAAAGAGCUAACCUCCCAGGGUGUGUUUGUUUUUUUUUCUGGUUUUGAGCAUUUUUUUUAAGGAGGGAGUGUACGUCUGUGCUGCAGUAGAAGAGUGUCAUUUUAGAAAAGUUGCUGUAUUUGUCUCACUGUCUUAGAUAGUAUAGACUUUAAACAUGUUACUAAAAAUUAACACUGGACCGUGUUUUUAAAUACUUGCCAUUCUGGAUGUCCUGAACAUUUUCAUGCAUAUUUUUUAUGUCGGUUAGUUUUAUUUAUAUAAAGUAAGACCUGUAGACCUGUACUUUAUUGGAUAAAUUGAUACAGCUACCAUGAACUGUUUUGUUUCUGUUCUGUAAAAUCAGGCCCCGUUCCAAAAGACACAACAUCCUCAGUGUCCUGGAGCUCCAGCUGAAGCAGUGGCCACUCCACCUUCUCCAUCCCCACCCAAAAGAGGUACUUCUAAGGCAGCUAGUUGAAGGCGUGAUUGAGGUCCAUGCCAGAGGGGUUCUGCACUGUGACCUCAAGCCAUAGAACAUCCUGGUUCAGAUGUACAGUUAGGAACCACGCCUUCAUCUUCUGUUCUUCUGGACCUUCCUCAUGAGUGGUUUACCCAUGAGGCCAAAUCCUCCACAGUGUUGCAGAUAGGAAUCAUCCUGCUGUGUGUGAGAGGUGACCCUUCAACACCAGCACAGAGAUCACCUCAAAGAAGUCUCAGAUCAUCUCUCCACCAUCUGCUCUAUGACCCCUGGCUAAGUAUACACCACGACACAGCCACCACAUCAGUCACACCUCAGUCAGGUACCAUAUAAAACAAUAAUAAUAAUAAUAAUUUUAAAAAAUCUAUAUUUUCAAUCUCUAGUUUAGAGAGUUCUCUAGUAGAGCUGGGCGAUUAAUCGAUUUUAUCGAUAAAUUCGAAUUUAUAGUUAAGGACAAUGUGUUUUUAUGAAAAUUGAUUUUCUCUGAGUUUUCUUUUUCACCACAGACGCUCCUCUGUGGGCACAGAGUGAGCUUAGCUAGCUCCCUCCAUACCUCCCUCCCUCCAGCACGCGCACCCCCCGCCCCUCCCUCACUCCCUCCCUCCCUUGCACGCACAAACACACACACACAUACACAAAACACAUGACGGCGAAGCUUAAGAGCAACUAGCUCCGUGAUCUGGAGUUGGUUCGGUUUUGCGGCGUCGGACGUAGACCAAACAGGUCCUCGCUGUAAGGUGAACCAAUUUAUCACUAUACCUUAAACAGAAGCAUGUAGCGGAGUGGGAGAAGUGCUGCUACCAUAGGAAUGAACGCAGCAGCAGCACCAGUUCACCAUUCAACGUUAAUCAAGGAACUGUCCCUGGCACAUCUUCCAACCGUGUACCAGGUUUUGUAUGCACUACAAGUUAAGAUGUUUUGCAUAUUCAUGAGAAAAGAUCUCAUUUUAUAGAACACUGGCACUUAUUUAAAUGCUUUGUUUUGCAAUUCUAGCCCAAUAGGGAAAAGUAUUUACUUAAGAGCAUAUAAAUUGUACUUGUUUUCUAUUGUCUACUUUGUAAGUUUUAUCAAAAAAGGGCACCAUUUUAUUUAUUUCUAUUUGUUUUUAAGGGUGUGUUUAUUUAUUUAUUUAUUUUUUAAGUUUGAGGGUGCAUUGUGUCAGUACCUAAACUAUGUUGGAGAAAGCUUUCUAAAAGUCACUAGAUGUUCUCACUGUUUACAAUAGUUUUUUUUGCUUGUUUCUGGUUGCACUUUAACCACAAAUGGAACAUUUUAAGUGAAAACAAAUUAAAUAAGAACUAGUUUUUAACCAUUUCUUUAUCAUCUUUAGUUUGAUUUUUAGUAGGGGGAAAAAAUCGAUUUAAAUCGAGAAUUGGAUUUAAACAAAAAAAAAUCUUAGAUUUUUUUUUUCGGCCAUAUCGCCCAGCUCUAUACUCUAGUUUAGAGGGUUUUUUUUUAAUAAAACACACCUAAGGAAAAUAGCAGGUAUUAAUAAAGCUAUUGAUUCCAUACUUUUAAAAAGGUAAUGAUUUUCUUUAACUAUAUAAAUGUUUUAAUCGUUUUGUGUAUUGUAUGCUUUUAAUUGCUUCCUGUUUUGUAUUUGUGUUCAUGUACUUAAGGCUUUAAUCCUUUUAUCUUGACAUUGUUUAUCUUUUGAUGUUUAUUAAUUACUUAACUGUAUUUAUCUUUAUGUAGUAUACUGUUAGUGUUUUAAUCCAUACACUUUUUGUAUAUAUUUCUUUUAUUGCUUAGUUACUUGCUUUAUUAAUGGUUAUUGUAUUGAUGUUUUAGUCUUAUUUUGGGCUUAUAUUCAUUAAAAACAUUUUAACGUUUGUCUUUUAGUGCUUUAAUCAAUUAAUAUUGUACUUACCUUUUACUAUUUUACUAUUAAUCUUUCUGUACUUAAUUAUACAUUAUUUUAUAAUAAAAUUAAAGGCGGGUUUAUUAAUUGUAUGUCUUUAUACGGGAUUUUAUAUUUGCAUUGUAUAUAUUUUUGUUUCAUUUAAUGUUUAUGCUCUUUGUCUUUUUCAGAUUUUUACAUUUUUAAUUUGUGUAUUGACCCAAGGAGUAUGGGUUCCUCUCAAGGUUUCUAUCUCUCUUUCUGAGAGAAUUUUCUUUGCCGCUGUCUCCUUUGUGCUUACUCAAAAGAGGUUUGGACACUUUUUUUUUUUUUUUUUUUUUUUUUUUUUUUUUUUUUUUUAACUGUUCUUAAUUUUGUUUGUUUCUUAACUUUGUCAAUAAAUGUUUUUUUUAUUGCUA